GUUCCGACGCUGCAGGAUGCGGCUGCGGUCGAUUAGGUAGACGGUGGGGUAACGGCCCACCGUGCCGAUAAUCGGUACGGGUUGUGAGAGCAAGAGCCCGGAGACGGAAUCUGAGACAAGAUUCCGGGCCCUACGGGGCGCAGCAGGCGCGAAACCUUUACACUGCACGCAAGUGCGAUAAGGGGACUCCGAGUGCGAGGGCAUAUAGUCCUCGCUUUUCUGUACCGUAGGAAGGUACAGGAAUAAGGGCUGGGCAAGACCGGUGCCAGCCGCCGCGGUAAUACCGGCAGCCCGAGUGAUGACCGAUUUUAUUGGGCCUAAAGCGUCCGUAGCUGGCCAAGCAAGUCUGUCGGGAAAUCCACUCGCUCAACGAGUGGGCGUCCGGCGGAAACUCCUUGGCUUGGGACCGGAAGGCUCGAGGGGUACGUCUGGGGUAGGAGUGAAAUCCUGUAAUCCUGGACGGACCACCGAUGGCGAAAGCACCUCGAGAAGACGGAUCCGACAGUGAGGGACGAAAGCUAGGGUCUCGAACCGGAUUAGAUACCCGGGUAGUCCUAGCUGUAAACGAUGUUCGCUAGGUGUGGCACAGGCUACGAGCCUGUGCUGUGCCGUAGGGAAGCCGAGAAGCGAACCGCCUGGGAAGUACGUCCGCAAGGAUGAAACUUAAAGGAAUUGGCGGGGGAGCACUACAACCGGAGGAGCCUGCGGUUUAAUUGGACUCAACGCCGGACAUCUCACCAGCCCCGACUACAGUAAUGACGGCCAGGUUGAUGACCUUGCCACGAGCUGUAGAGAGGAGGUGCAUGGCCGCCGUCAGCUCGUACCGUGAGGCGUCCUGUUAAGUCAGGCAACGAGCGAGACCCGCACUCCUAAUUGCCAGCAACAGUUUCGACUGGUUGGGUACAUUAGGAGGACUGCCGCUGCCAAAGCGGAGGAAGGAACGGGCAACGGUAGGUCAGUAUGCCCCGAAUGGGCUGGGCUACACGCGGGCUACAAUGGUCGAGACAAUGGGUU
rnacentral:rRNA from 1 species